rnacentral:rRNA from 1 species
CGUGCUGAAAUUGCACGGCCCAGACUCCUACGGGAGGCAGCAGUGGGGAAUAUUGCGCAAUGGGGGAAACCCUGACGCAGCGACGCCGCGUGGGUGAUGAAGGCCUUCGGGUCGUAAAGCCCUGUCGUAGGGGAAGAAUCGGUGGACGGAUAAUACCCGGCCGCCUUGACGGUACCCUACAAGAAAGCACCGGCUAACUCCGUGCCAGCAGCCGCGGUAAUACGGAGGGUGCGAGCGUUGUUCGGAAUUACUGGGCGUAAAGCGCGUGCAGGCGGUCGAUUAAGUCCGGUGUGAAAGCCCGGGGCUCACCCCCGGAAGUGCGCUGGAAACUAAUCAACUAGAGUACGGGAGAGGGAAGUGGAAUUCCUGGUGUAGCGGUGAAAUGCGUAGAUAUCAGGAGGAACACCGGCGGCGAAGGCGGCUUCCUGGACCAAUACUGACGCUGAGACGCGAAAGCGUGGGGAGCAAACAGGAUUAGAUGCCCUGGUAGUCCACGCUGUAAACGAUGGGUACUAGGUGUCGCGGGUGUUGACCCCUGCGGUGCCGCAGCUAACGCAUUAAGUACCCCGCCUGGGGAUUACGAUCGCAAGAUUAAAACUCAAAGGAAUUGACGGGGGCCCGCACAAGCGGUGGAGCAUGUGGUUUAAUUCGACGCAACGCGAAGAACCUUACCUGGGUUAGACAACGGUGGACCGCUCCAGAGAUGGAGCUUUCCCUUCGGGGACUGCCGGUUCAGGUGCUGCAUGGCUGUCGUCAGCUCGUGUCGUGAGAUGUUGGGUUAAGUCCCGCAACGGGCGCAACCCUUGCCUCUAGUUGCCAGCAUUUAGUUGGGCACUCUAGAGGGACUGCCGGCGUUAAGCCGGAGGAAGGUGGGGAUGACGUCAAGUCCUCAUGGCCCUUAUGCCCAGGGCUACACACGUGCUACAAUGGUCGGUACAGAGGGCAGCGAAGCCGCAAGGUGAAGCCAAUCCCAGAAAGCCGGCCUCAGUUCGGAUUGGAGUCUGCAACUCGACUCCAUGAAGGUGGAAUCGCUAGUAAUCGCGGAUCAGCACGCCGCGGUGAAUACGUUCCCGGGCCUUGUACACACCGCCCGUCACACCAUGGGAGUUUGCUGUACCGGAAGCCGGUGAUCUAACCCGCAAGGGAAGUAGCCGUCCAUGGUAUGGCCGAUGACUGGGGUGAAGUCGUAACAAGGUAGCCGUAGGGGAACCUGCGGCUG